CCCGCCGGAAUUAAGCAUAUCAAUAAGCGGAGGAAAAGAAACUAACAAGGAUUCCCCCUAGUAACGGCGAGUGAAGCGGGAAGAGCUCAAAUUUAAAAUCUGGUUUGCUUGCAAAUCCGAGUUGUAGUCUGAAGAAACGUUUUCCUUGAAAGCUGAGGCACAAGUCCUUUGGAACAGGGCAUCAUAGAGGGUGAGAAUCCCGUCCAUGGUCUCAAGCAUUUCAUUUUGUGAUACGUUUUCUAAGAGUCAGGUUGUUUGGGAAUGCAGCCUAAAAUGGGUGGUAAAUUUCAUCUAAAGCUAAAUAUUGGCGAGAGACCGAUAGCGAACAAGUACCGUGAGGGAAAGAUGAAAAGAACUUUGAAAAGAGAGUUAAAAAGUACGUGAAAUUGUUGAAAGGGAACCGUUUGAAGCCAGUCUUGCUUGCUUGUGAUCAAUCUUAGCUUCGGCUUGGAUGCACUCUCAGGCUAUGCAGGUCAACGUCAGUUUGAAAGGUGAGAAAAAAGCUUGAGGAAUGUGGCCUUCGGGUGUUAUAGCCUCUUGUUAAAUACCAUCUUUUGGACUGAGGCUCGCAGCAAAAACGUGGGUUAGUUUGCUCCUGAGGUGAAGCUUUAUUAAGACAGCUUGCUGACUUAGUUUAGUGGAUCUUUACGGUGGAUUGACUUCUAAUUUGCUNNNUAGGUCGUUGACGUAAUGGCUUUAAAUGACCCGUCUGGAAAANCACNGGAA
rnacentral:rRNA from 1 species